rnacentral:lncRNA from 1 species
AUAUCUUUGGUUUGCCCUUUCAAAAUCUUUCUCCAUCCAACAAUGUAAUCAUCAUCAACAUACAUCCAUAGCUUCUUGUUUUUGUCGUUUCCCUUCUCCCAUUUAGACUCUCUCUAUCUUUUUUAUAUCACCAAAAUUUAAUUCAUUUUUAGAGAAAUUCUCACAAAUUUAAAAGAAAAAAAAAACAAAUAUAUAUUCAUCUAAAUCUUAUUUAGAAUGUUAGAUAACAAUUUAAAUCACUUGAACCGUAUAUAUAUAUAAUAUAACUCUACUGUUUUAAGCAACAAAACAAAACCAAAGUAUAUCGAAAAUAUUCGUAAGAUAUUAUCAUAAUUCGAAACAUAAAUAUAAGAUCAAGUGACAUUUUCAAAAUACGUCUUUUUAAUCACUCAAAUUAAUUAAAUUCAAUUAUAAUUUUUAUACCAUCAAAAUUGAGUGAGAAGAAUUAAAAACAUGAUUCCGACCGUCAGUUUUGAACAUAAUGUCUCGAAAAACUAAUUUUAGCCCUAAAUCUAGGGCACCGUGGUGUGUGUAUUGACCUAUCUCUAUAAUAUAGUUGUUAGAGGAUUAUAUAUAUAUAUAUAUAUAUAUAUAUAUAUUACCUCAAAUGUGUGUUUAAAUUUGAUAUCAUUUGAUGCAACAAUAUAAUAUAUAUAGUAGAGAUGUAUAGUGUCCCCAUCUUGUAGCACGCCCCCAAUAUCCAAUUCCAAUUAGUACUUAACACAAAUCUAUAUUUUAAUUCGAAACCUUACGGCUUACAAUAUCAAGUAAUUAAAUAUUGACAUGUGAGUUUCUUAAAAGCUCAUUUCCUUAUUGGUCGAUAUCACCCCUAAUUGGAAAAAAAGGGAUAAAAGUGCUUCCUUUUAAGCUUAAGAUGCUACCUACGAUUACGGACACCUUGGGAGAUUUAAUUUUAUGUCUUAUGGGAGAAUUUACAGGGCUAAUAAAUUUCUUUCCAUUGAUGAAUGCUUUUUAAAAUUCAAGAACAUGUCAGAUGACAAAUUAAAAAAAAAAAUCUUUAAACAUUUUAAAAUUUGAGACAAUUGAUAAAACAUUUCGACAUUAUUUUGAAAGUUGAGGAAUCUAUUUGACAACUUUUGAAAGUCGUACAAAGUAAUAAAUAGAAAUUGAAAAGUUUAUGAAAUUAAAGUUGUAACUAAUUUAGUUUGGAAACACAUGAAAUGGUGCUAGCAAGUUUGCAAAUUGCAACCUUAGUCACAAAUGAGCAUGCAUUAUCUAGGCUUUUUAGAUUUUGAUGGGAUCGAUAAACUGUAUCUAAAUUUUGUUAUUUUUACAAAUAAUUUUACAUUAAUUGGAUAUUAAAUAUUUAGUAGGAGAUGAGUAUAUCUCCAAAUUGCAUGCAUGCAUGGAUGUGUUUGAAUUACAUUCUUAAACUUUAAAAGUGUAUAGUAGGGAGGUGUGUAUGUGGGGUGGGUGGGUUGCUGUAGUAGUUAGAAUGGAGGAGUGUUUAAGGCGUGCAAAACCCAAAUCCAUAUAUGGCGGCUAUAGCUAUCACCUUGAACUUUGCUUAAUAAAACGCUGUGUGCCGAUUUGUCGCACACACUAAACCAUACAAACAUAUAGCAUUAACUGUGGGGACGACUUGUCGAAUUGCUAAAAGACAAAACAGAGAGGGCCCUCUCUUCUUCUGUGGGUCCCGCAUAAAGUUUAGCUGUUUCGGACACACGUCGGAUGUGGUCCCCACUUAUGGUGGGUUGUCGGCACAUGCCACAUCCCCUCCCGAUUUGUGGGUCCCUUUUCAUACACUUUUUUUUUUUUUUUUUUUCUUAUAAAAUUUUCACAAACCAAAAUAAAUAACUUUCAUUUUUGGGUGUGCUAUGGGACCCCUUUCCAAAUAAAUAAAUCAAUUUAUAUUAAACAAUUUUUUUUUUUAAAAAAAAAUUGUAUUGGAAGGUAGAUUUGAGAAAAGAAAAGGAUUUUUUGAAUGAAAAGAUUUGGGGUAAAAAGUGAGAGUUUGUGUUUUAAGAUUUAGUGUUUCUUUGGCUUAGACUUUUUAAGAAAAAGAUUGAUAACCAAAAGUAGUUUUUAGUCGUUGACCACUUUUUGAAAGAAAGGAAAAAAGAGGGGAAAACAAUAUUAUUAUAUAUGUUUUUUUUUCCUUAAAAAAAGUUCACUAAAUAUUUCACAUUAUCUAUAUAGGUUAAAAUUAACAUAAUAUGGUUUUUAAGAUAGAUAUUUAAUGUGCAUCAUACAAGCUUUCUUUUAGAUUGAAAAUGAAUCACAAUUAAUUUUAAUUUCAAGUAGAAGUGGUUUGGGGUUGGAGUAAGAAUUUGAGAAGAAGAAAGGGAGUUUAGGGGCAUUUGAGUUUGGUGGGUGCGCAUGCAAGUUCAAAUUUAAAAUAGGUUUGCAAUUCUUUUUUGGGUCAUAAUGGAAGAUGCCACACCCACACCCACACCCCCAUCUCACCUAUUCAUCACUCCAUACACAUUUUUGCAUCAUUCCCCCAAACCUAACCCAAUUUCCCCCAACAAUAAUAUUCUUAAUAUCACUAUUAGUUUUUUUUUUUAUAACAUUUAAUUAAUAUCUCUUUCGAGAAAACAUUGUUGCGUGAGUUUUUGAAUAAUGCAUAACCUUUAUGCUCUUAUACCAUGUUAGAUCGUUAACUUAAAUAAGUUGAUAUGUGAAUCUUACAUUUAGUAUUAUAUCCAUAUAUCUAACCUUGUAUUUUCUCUCAUGUACAUACUAUGAUCCCUCUAUACAUCAUACUCUAUCUCGAUUAAACUUUAAGAAAUGAUCAUUGGUAAAGUGUCUUGUAGCAUAUGUAACCGACAAGAAGUAAGUCAUGAGCCACGCGAAAAACCCAUUUGUUUCUCUUGAAUUCCUUCUCAAUGAUCUCUCUCAGUCAAAGGUCUUUGUAUUUGUAUUCUAUGUCUGUUAUAAAAUCAACCAUCAAAGAUAAACAAUUUUUUCAAAAAAACUAAACAAUAGAUAAUCAAACACAAAAAUUUACAUGGUUCACUAAUAGUGCGCAUGUCAUCUACAUUCACAAUCAGAUGUUCGGUUUCAUAUUACAAUUGACACACUUCUUAGGUCAAAAGGCUUAUUCAAUGCACUCAUCUCCCAAGGUAAAAAACAUCUACAAGGCAACAGUACUCUCAAAGAUUGAUUAUUUAUGGCGUAAAUAUGUUAUAUAUAACAAUAAUUAGGGUAAGAGGGAGAAGAAGGUUGUUUUUAUUUGAAAGGAAGAGUGGUUUUGAUGAUGGUGAAGAGAACCAAAUGAAUUAUUGAUCUAAUCUUUGUUGUGUGCUCUCUCUCUCUCUCUCUCUAUAGUCUUAAAUUAAAAGCUAAGAAUUAAUACGAAAACGAAAUGUGAAGUAUAGUAUCACAUUUUUGACGGCACUCAAUAAUCUUCUUCUAAAAGCUCUUUCUUUUUCUAGUUUUCUUUUUUCUUUUUUCUCUUCCUCAUAUACAUAAUUAAACAUAUUAAUUUCCCAACUUUUUAGAAUCAUUAAACUCAUUGCUUAAUUAAUGAAAAAUCUCCUCACUUUAAUUAAUUAACCCAUCAAUUUUAAUUGUUGCCUUUUACUACUAACCCUUCCUUUUUAACCCUAAAUAUAUCAUGUGUGUGUGUGUGUUUUGACCUAUUGGAUCCUAAUUAAAUAAUGUGAUUGUUUUUAUGUUUCUCCUUUGGUGGAUUUUCUUUACAUAUAUAUAUAAUCAAGAGAGGGGACAUGCAUUUUGAUAAUGUUUUUAGGCACGUCUUGCUUUUCUUCUCUUUUUUUUUUCUUUUUUCUUUUCAAAUUAUUCAUAAAUUUAUAUUAUUUUUGUGACCUUUUUAAUUUACUUUUGUUAGGAAUAGACAAACAUAUGUUGUCCCUCUGAACUUAGGUUCCUUUCAUGGAUUUGUACUGUUCCUUCAUCACCUUGUCUCUCUUCCUCUCUCUCUCUCUCUCUCUCUCUCUUUCUUUCAAAAGGCCAUACACUUAUACUCUAUUUCAUUAUUCAUUCUUCUUUCUUUUGUUCUUUUCCUUUUACUUUAAAUCACACACAUAUAUAUGUACUAAUAAUUAUUUAUGUCUCGUUUCUUAUUUUGGACUCUUGAUUCUCUACUACUACUUGCCUUCUUUAUUUACAUCUUAACAUUUUGUAUCCAUUGCUAGUUUAAGAGUCUACAAUCAAUCCGAACAUGGUUUCAUUGGUAUAUGCAGUGUGUUUAAUAAUCAUGAACUAGGUGUGUUUUGAAAUUGAUUAUAGAAAAAAUCAAUCUAAUACUACUCUUUUAUUUAGGGCAUGUAUCAAAUAAAUAAAUUAGAUCAUGAUUGUAUUAAUUAAAACUAUAAACGAUUAUAUCAAUUUAGAUCGGCAAAUUACAAAUUUUUUUAAAUUCGUCAUGCAUGUCAUGAAUGUCAUCACAUGAGAGAAAAACGAAAAAUGUCAAAUAGAUAUACAACAAAUCCUUUUGAAUAAUUUUGUUGGGUUGAUUUGAGUGAUUCCAAAUGAAAUCAAGUAAAACUAUUUAUAAAUUUAAGUCUAAAUUAAUCCACUAAUAAAAUUCUGUAAAAAUAUAUUCUUAUAUGUAUAGAAAUAACACUUAAAAAGUGUAAAAUCCAAUAUAAAAGACCAAACUUUUAGAAAUUAAAAUAAAAUUUAGGAUAAAUAUCAACUAAUAAUUGUAUAAUUUAAACCAUGAACUCGAAGGUAGUGUUACUAAUAAUUGUAUUAAUUUAAACCUUAAAUUUUAAUAAUAAAGACAUCAAUUUAAACUCGAAAGUUUCAUAUACAUAUGUAUCAAACAAAUCCGUCAACUUUGAUAAGUGUGUCCAAAUAAAACAUAAUAUAGGGUUUAGAUUGACAUAUUUAUAUAGUUUAGAGAAUUUAAAUUGAUGUGUUUUUUAAAGUUAAAAAUUUAAAUUGAUACAAUUGUUAGUUUGAGAUUGAAAUUGAUACAACUCCUAAAGUUCAUAGUUUAAAUUGACGCAAACCCUAAAGUUGAGAGCGGUAUAAAUUGAAAUUUAAUAUUUGAUUUGUUUCUAUUUUAAAUCUUAAUUCAAUUUUAAAUAACACUUUGAUAGAAAAUGUGUUUCCCUCACAUUAUAUAUAUACACACAUAUGGAAAUCUUAAAUUUCAACUUUGUUUUACAACUAGGUGAAAAGUCUCUCUCUCUUAGGGACCAAAAAAAGAGUAGGAAUUAUACAAACUACUUCUAAAAGGCAAAUUUGAUCAUUGUUUUGAGACACAAAAACAUCAAUUAAUCUCUAUUCUAUAACAUUAUAUAUUAUCAAUAAUGUUUGGUGUUUGAACAUCAAUUCUCAUGCAAUUUUAAUAUAUAAACCUAGAUCCAAUUUUCUAGGGCAUUGAUAGAAAAAAGACCGAAUAUAUGUAUAUAUGAUAUUAUCACAUUAAUCAUCACAAAUUUUUCCCCUUCCCACAAGUUGCAACAAUUAAUAAAUUUAAAAUUUUGUAUUCAAAACAAAAAUUAUGGUUAUAUCCAAUAUCAUAACUACACAUCCCACAUUAAAUAAUUACAGUGUAAAUUAGCUGUUGGAUAUUACAAAAACAUGUUUCUGUUGAGAAAUAUAAUUGAGUUUAGUCCAAUUGCCUUUUGAUUAGUGAUUAAUCCAUUUCAAAUUAAUUAAAUUUGGAUUAAUUAAUACUAAUCAAGGAAACUUAAUGGAGUGAUUAGAUUAGUUUACACCCUCCACUUUUGAUCUAAUAUCAAUCAUGUAUAUGAUGGUUUAUGCAUUAUAGAUAUAGAAAGAGAUUAUAUUUUUCUGUUUUUGGAGUUAAUUUUGAAAAAUGAAUCAAAAUAUAAUCAAAUUUUAUAUUUAUUACUCGUAAAUGUACAUAAACUUUUAAUUUAAUAACAUGAAUAGAAGUUUAAUAUUUAUUAAACGUAAAUGUACAUAAACUUCUAAUUUAAUAACAUGAAUAGAAGUUUAAUUAUGUAUAGAAUUUAAAAUUUUAUUAUAUUUGGAUGAUUAUUCUCAAUAAUAGUUUUGUUAUUUACAAUAUUUUUUUCUUAUCAUCAUCUCUUCUAUAUAUAUUUGUUUUCACUUCAUUAUAAUGCUCACAAUGAUUAUAUUCUUUGGUUGCCUCAUCCGCAUGCUCUCUCUAACCCUAAUUCCCAUUAUUCUCUCCACCUAUAAAUUUCCCCUUCUUCUCCCUUCUCACCUUAUAAUUUUCCCUUUUUUCUAUUACAAACUCCAUAUUUCUGAUCAUUUCACACACUUUCGAUUAUGGCCGGUUUCGAAGGGUUCGAAAAGCGAUUAGAACUCCAUUUCUCCGGCGAUGACCCGAUUUUCUUCAACAUGGGGCUCCGCCAGCUUAGCUUUGAUUCCCUACAACAAGUCCUACGUGAAGUCCAAUGCACCGUCGUCUCCGCCGUCGCUAACCAUUACUUUGACGCUUACGUUUUGUCGGAAUCAAGCCUUUUCGUUUACCCAACUAAAAUCAUCAUCAAAACCUGUGGGACUACUCAACUACUCAAAUCCAUCCCUCCAUUAAUCCACCACGCCCUUAAUCUCCACCUAACACUUGUCUCUUGUCGUUACACUCGCGGUAACUUUAUCUUCCCUCUCUCUCAGCCUUUCCCUCACACUUCCUUCCACGAAGAAGUCGUUUACUUAGAAAACUCCCUCCCUAACCACCUCUGUUUCCGUAAGGCCUCCGUUAUGCCUUCCAAUCUUUUGCCUUCACAUGCUUGGCACGUCUUCUCUGCUUGUGAUGAAACUCGUUUGGUUCAUUUUGAUUCCGGGUUUUACACGGUUGAGGUUUGUAUGACCGACCUUGAUCGCAGUUUGGCUAAGAAGUUUUUCCGACGUCCUGGUGAUGGAAAAUCCGCCGAUGCUGCUGGUAAAGAGAUGACCGAGAUUUCUGGUAUUAAUAAGAUUAAUCCCAAUGCUCUUGUUUGUGAUUUUGCUUUUGAUCCUUGUGGUUAUUCCAUGAAUGGAAUCGACGGUGAUCGAUAUUCCACCAUCCAUGUUACUCCGGAGGAUGGGUAUAGUUAUGCCAGUUUUGAAUGUGUUGGUUCCAUUUACGACGGUGAUGAUUUUGUUCGGACGUUGAAGAGAGCCGUCCAGGUAUUUCGACCAGGGAAAGUGUCAGUGUCGACCACUACGGCCACAUCGCAUCGGGUUUGGGCGAGGGUGGCCGGAGCACUGGAGCCACUUGGGUUGAAAUGCCGGAGUUGUACGGUGGACGAAUUUCCGGCAGUGGGGAACGUUGUGUUCCAGACGUUUACGACCCGCCGGAAAAAAACAGGGGAAUGCGGCGGCGGACGGUAGAUAUUAAAAAAGAAAAUCUCUAGUCAGGGAAAGUUAGAAUAUGAUGAUAGGCCACGUGGCAAAAGUGAAAACUAUGAUGUUGAUGUGGAGGAAUUCAAUUGGUUAAUGAGAGUGAUGAAAUGUGGGGUUGACUUGUUUUUUCUUUUCUUUUCAAUUUCUUUUUUCUUCUUUCUCUUUUUCAAAUUUAAAAAAAAUAAAAAAAAAAUCUAAAAAUGAGGAGAGAGAUAUAGGGAUGGUGACGUGGAGUACCAAGAAGUUUGGGGGAUUUGAAAAAACAAAAAACAAAAAACAGAAAAACAGAAAAACAGAAAGAUCAUAAAUAUAAUGAUAAUGCACCCCACUUAGGGUUGUCACGCCUAAGGAUUUUUUGAAGCAUUUUGUGUAGUAGUGGAGAAAAAAAUAUAUAUAUUGAGAUUCAAAGUGCAAACCAAGUACUCCUUCUACUUCAUCAACCCUUAUAUCAACUUUUUUUUUCUCCUCUCUUCAUCCUUUAUGUAAUUUUCCCUAUUUUAAUUUCUAGCUAUCUUUAUUCAAUAGCGAUUACAAUUAAUAAAACUCUUAGCUUCUUCUUUGAGUUCCAAGGUUGAUUCGAGGCAUCCAAAAAGUGUAACAAGUUCAUUUUUGACUUUUUAGUGGAAUGCAUGUAUAUGCCAAAAUCAGUUUAAUUAGCAAUAUUUUGAUAGGGCAAAAGCUAGCUUACAACACUCUCCUUCUGCUUUGUCUAUCAACUAAUUUUUCUCUUCUCAUUUAUCUAAUUUUCUCUUCUAAUGUCUAGUGUAAAUUCAAUUCACAGACACUACAAAAUAACUAAAACUGACUAGAUCUUUUUUUUGAUUUCGAGGAUGAAAAAAUUCAAAGAUUUAAUCUUUUUAAACGUUAAAUUAAGUUGAUUAACAAAACAAGAUCACUCGAGAGAUGUCUGCACGGUGAUCUUAACAAGAUAAGAAAGGGCAGAGACAUAAUUUAAUUAAUUUGUAUUUUUGUUGUGAUGUAAUAUAAAGUUAAAAAGAAAAGUGAUUAUAUGUAUAUAUUAAUCAGGAUAUAGUGUUGUUGUUUAGGAAUGGAUGAUGAGUUUGAAAAUGUUAGGAUGAUGAAGGCUGGCGUGGAAGGCACCCAGAUAAGGCAGCAGCAAAGCAAUAAGACCACAUGAUGAUAAUUUGAAAGAGAGAGAGGGACACUAUAGUAAAUUUAUACAUAUAAUUGGUUUCCCCUUUCACACAUUUUAUCAAACAGAUUCUGCACGUGCCCAUUAUGCCCAUUAUGCCCAUUAUGCCCCUUUCUAAAUGCCUUCUCCACUUCCUCUCUUAUAUGGCCUUCCCACCCAUUCCUAUUACCCAAUACCCCUAAUUAAUUUCCUCCAAAUAUAUCCCUACAUCAACAACAAUAUUCAUUCCUUUACAAUAAUUCUACCGCUCUUUCCACUAUUCUGUGUCCUUUAUUUUUCCCAAACAAGUUGAUAUUCUUCUCUGAAUUUGAAUUAGAAUCCUAUAUGGCAUAUUAGUGGAAGUAAGAAAUCAAAAUUAAUUAAUAAACCUAAACAUACUCCAAACAAAUGGGGUUAAAACAUGCUAUUUAUCUAUUAAAAAAAAUUAGAUUUUGAUUAUCUCAAAUCUCACAUCUUAUUAAUCUAAAUAAAACAUAGUGUUAAUAUUUGGUUUUGGUGAACUUUGUCUUAAUUGUUUUUUCUUUCCAACUACUUCUACGUCGAAUUUGGCAAAAGAAAAAAAAAGAGUCAAACCACUUAUACCCAAACUAGAUAUAGAAAGAGGAAAAUAAUCGAAUGACUUGUGGAAUUUUGAUAUUCGUGGUACGACUAUUUGUAUGUGCAUCAAUGGGUCAGUUUUAGAGGGGGGAAAUCAUUUCCAUGGAUGUAUAAUUUUUUGUUUUGACAUAUUUGUUAGAAGAGAUAGGUUAGUUUUGUCCCCUCACACUCAUAGUGUAGGAGAAAAAGAGAGAAAGGAAAAGGAGGGGUAGGGAGUUGGGAGUUGGGAGAGGAAUCAAAAGCACAAUUUAGAGUGGAGGAUAUUUGGGAAAUGAGAAAUGAGAUUGGCUCAGAGGUUGAAGUUCCAUUUACCUUCCACCUUGUCCUUUUGCUUUUGGACACUCACUCAUAUUUUAUAUUCUUCUAAUAGGAGCAGUCUACCCUUAUAAUAAAUGCAAUCCCCAUAAACCACCAUCCUUUCCUUACCCACUUCCUUACUCAAUCUUUUUAUAUCCAAACACUUCCAAAGCAAACAAACAAAGAAUAGUUGCACUUUCGUUCUCCAACUUUCAAUUUUAAAAUUUCAGGUAGAAAUUGAACCCUAAAUGAUCAAAAUUAUAGCCUUCAAUUUAUAUAAUUGUUACCCAUUUCUACACAUAUGUAAGUUGAGAAAUUUGAUUCUAAGAAAAAAUAUUUCGGCAGACUAUUAUUGCCACAAAUAUAUAGGCCCUUUGUUUGGGCUCAUCAAAUCCCCAAUGGGCCUAAGAAGCCUCAACCACAAUAGCUUUUGGGUCUAACAAUUUCUCAGUAUGAAUGGGCCCUGGCCCGAUAAACAUAAUGCUAAACAACCAUGUAUUUGAGAAAAUAGCGGACAUUAAAAAUAAUUUGAUUUUUAGCCGUAUCUCAUAAAAUACAUUUUUUAUAUAUACUUUUCACUCUAUUUUACUCCUUGAUGGAAUGAAUAUCAUGCUGGUUAGUUACAAUGUAUUUGUUAACUGCAAAAUUAAUAUUACAAUGUAUUUGAUAUCAUUCAAUUUUAUUUUCAAACGAAAUUAAAUAAACGUUUAUUAAAUAAAUAUUUAUUUUAUUUAUUGAUCUCAUAUAACCAAAGUAGAUUCAUGUCUUAAAUUUUAAAAUAAUAUAUUUUACAUAAAGUUAUGCAUUUUAUAUAGUAACAACUUACUUAUGUUUCCUAUAAUUAUGCAUAUACAAUUUUUUUAAUAAAGGGAUUGACCAUAUUAUUAUAUAUAGUUUACACUAUUUAAUUCACAUAAUUAAAUCAUUAAUAAUGUUAUUCCAUGGUAGGUUUUGUUGGAGUGAAUAUUCUAAAUUUUGAAUUUAAAACAAUAUCUUCUACAUAAAAUUAUGCAUUUUAUAUAAUAACAAAUUCAUAUAAUUAGUGUAUCUUUCCAACUUUUAAGCAUUAUUUUAUGAAUUAAAUGUUAGUAUAACGGUAAGAAUAAAAUCAAUUUUCUUUUUUUAUUCUGACUUUUAUUUUGGGUACAAAAGUAUUCGAAUGAACUUGUUUUUAGUUUUGCAAAUUUUUCACUGCAGUUCUAUUUAUUGGUUGCAUUUAUCGUACCCAUGUUUUGGAAUUCCUUGACUUUUAUCGUAUAUCGUUUUUUACAACGGCAAUGCAACGUGUGAAACUUUUUUUUAUGGUAGAUGGAUAGAAUCUUUUCGAUAUAUUGACUACCAUGUGAUUGAUGUAUUUGUCCCAUGUUCAUCUUCAUUUCAAGAAUUCUUAUAGUGCAUUCAAGAUAGAAUUUUUCCAUCCUUACAUAUUUCUGUGUGUUGCAUUACUUUGUAUUGAGAUGGAUGCAAUAGUUCAAAUCUUAUUCGGAUUGGUGAAGACAAGGACGUGUAUUGGCUUAUGUUGAUUAUGUCGAAAUUUUCUAACAAUGAUUUUGUUUUAGUUCUUGAUUCUGCAAUAAAGAGAAUGAUUACCUUCAGAAUUGAACUUCUAAAGGUAUGAGGUGGAGCUUCACACUAUGUUUUUUUUAUUUUAGUUAUUUAGAGGGAAUUUUGUUUAUACCAUUUGUUUUCCAAUUACAGUGUAACGAGUGUUUAUGUUAGUGUACUAAAAUAGUCUAUCAGUGAUACACUUAUGGUUUAUGAUCUACCUGCAAUAAACUUUAAUAAAUUUUGUUAUAUUUGCAACUAUUUGUUUAUAUGAUUCAUAACACUAUUAUUGAACUAUUAUUCAUACAACCUUAUAGAGGAUACUUCAUAUUUUUCAUUAAUAUUCUUUAUUCUAUUAGAUUAAUAAUAGGAUAAAAUAUUCAACCUUAAGAAAAAAAAUUUGUUUCUACUACUCGAACCGAGAUUUUUUAAAAACAUUCUACAUUUUUACUUUUAGACACGUACGGAGCCUAAAGAGUAUAUUUUGAUGGGAGUAUAUGACAUAUUUGUUGACAUUAUUUUUUAAUUAAAGUAGAUAUGAAAGAUUGAAAUGUAUUGAUGAGAAUUGUGCAUAUGGCUUGAUUGGAUGAUGAUAAUAAUAAUACAAAUUUACUGAUCAUAAAGGAUUCAACAAAUCAAAUGGUUGGAAUUAUAGAAUUAGAUUCCCCCAAUAUGGGAAGAGAUGUAGUGGAUUUUGUGAAGUAAAGCUCCACUCAAAUGAUUGUGGUUGAAAAAUAAAACCUUUAAUUCAAAAAGGGGAAGAAAAAAAGAUUUGAGAUUCAGAAUCUUUGUUGAGAUUUUGAUUUUGGAUCAUAUAUUUGGUUUAUCUUUGAGCUAUAAUUUUCCCAUCCAAUAAAUAUUAAUAUAUUUUUCAAAUGGAUAUUUCUCAAUAUUAAUGAUUCAUAAUAAAUAAGUCUGAAGCUAAUCCCACAUCAAGAUUCCUCUCUAGACUGUCUCUUCCAUAAUUGACAUUUCAUUUAAAUUAUUCACUUCUAUUUCAACAACUAACCAAUUUGAUUUGAUAGUGUUAGAAUUUAUACCAACAUUAAUUGAUCAUCACACAAAAUCUUCUUAAAUAAUAGAGGAUAACAACUUUGAUUGUUAAUAAUAUAUAAUCAAUAUGGCCUUUUUCCCCUUAUAACCAUAUUGAUUUUUUUUUCCUAACGUGGAAGGUGUUAGGUGGAUGCUUUCGGAUUAUCUAGCUCGUACUAUUCGUCUUACCGACACAAACAUCAUUCCUAGUAGUUGUGAGGUUAAAAUUCUUGAAGUAAUGACAUUUUGUCACCAUUCACAAAGAGUAGCCCAAGUGAUUCGCUUGGUGGAAACUAAUUGUUUAGAGAUAACCUACAUGUUGAAUAACAUUGUGGGUGAUAUCACUGAAGGUCUUAUCUUUAUUUGAGUUAGUAUUAUGAGGGUAAGUUCAUUCUCUUAUGUUCGUCGGUGUUAUUACGACUUAUGCACUUUUUUGUUUAAAGCUUUAGAGAGAAAUGUCAAUCUUCGUAUUUUUCUUUUAGAAGUUAAAAUGUUGGUAUACUUCAAUUGAAUAAGAAACAUCACAACUUGAGGAAUAUUUGAAUUCAACGAUAUGAGUAUAAUAUGAGCAUUAUUUCAAUUCUGAAGAAAGCAACUUUUUCUUAUUCGAAGGUUAAAAAUGAAAAUUAAGAAUGUGAGGUUUUGUUUAGUGAUAUAUUUUUUUGCUUUAUUAUUUUUUUUUGUUAAAAAUAAAAUUAACAUUUGUAGUCCUUUUUAAAAAAAAAAAAAAAAACAAGGCUAAUAUUUUGGUUUAUACUUGAAAAGAAUAUAUAUAAAUAUAUAUAUAGUAGGUGGGUUAUUGUCCACAAUAGUGUAAGUUUGUUUCUUCCACAAAUUUUACUUGAAGAUGAAUGGGCCAAUAACUAAGGAAGACUCCAAAUUUUCAAACCCUUCAAAAAAAUCCAAAUCUGCCACACAAUUUCAAAGAGAGAGAGAAAAAGAAAAAGAAAAAAAAAACCUCAAUUAUAGACUUUUACUAUUCAAAUGGAAACAAUGACCAAAAUUUGGUCAUAUGAUGCAAUGUCUAUGGGAAGAAAAUUGAAAACACCUUGGAAAUUCCAAGCUUAAAGGUGGCAAAGGAAAGGAAAUGGAAAAGGGAAAAAAAAAGUCAUUUUUGACCUAAGUUUGUGAGUUGUCCAUCGACUUUCAAAUUUUAUCCAAUAUUUGGACCCUAAACUUAAACUAUUGUUGCUAAAAACAACCUAAAAAUAUUAUUAAACUCAUUACUUUUCAUUAUUCAUCAUAUUAGUUAUUUUCUUGCUUGCAACUCAAAUUGCAUCUUUUUACGUUCUUUCUUGUACGUUUGAUGAUACAUCUUCUUUCUCUACCGUAUCAAAACACUUUCUCUAGACUCCUAGUGAGCAAUCAAUCUUUCAUCUAUAUUUCACUUCGAAACAACUAGUGUGAGUAUGAGCGUGUGUAGAUCUAUUCUAAUGAUGUUCAUUUUUACUUGAAAUGUGAUCGAAGUCUAACAUCAACUAGAUAAGAGAAUGAUCAUACAUAUACAAUUAAUAAUGAUUAUCUAAAAGUGAUAAAAAAAAUCGAAAGUUAGGUUGUUUUUUACACCCUUUCUAUUGUGUGAUUCUAUCUUUUACUUGUGUGUCAUUUGCACUAUAUCCUCUUAUAAUACACAAGUAAAGAUCUUAAACUAGUCUAUGUCAAUUCAAACAAACCUCAAAUACUCUAACCUCUAUCUCUUCACAUGUGGUUGGGAGAAGGAAAAAUAAAUUAGUUUUCACAGCUCACGGGCAGCUCUGUUGAAAAAUUUGAAGUAGAGUUAUUUUCCAUUACCAGAAAAAAGAAAUGGUGAGUUUCAAGAUUUUCAAUGUGUGAACAAAUUUUUCUUACUGUUUUUGGGUCAUCUCAAUGUCCAAUCUUGUACCUUUCCUAUGCCCUCUUCUUCUUCUCCUUCUUCUUCUUCUUCUCUUUCUCUGUUUCUCACCGAAAGCCUAACACUGUUUUCGUUAACAUCUAAACCCCACAUUCCUAUCGGCUGCAAAAUUUGUUCUUAGGGUUAAUUUUUCUCGAUUACUUCGCCUUUUCUACCUCCUCGAGCCGUGAUCUUUCUUCAAAAGCAAUUACCCAUUUCCCCUGUUCUGUUGUUUUUGUUCUAAACUUACUGUUGUGAUACACACACACAUAUAUAGUGCUUUCUUUUGCGUCAGGAAGGAUUUCACUCAAAGGAAAAGCAAUCUUUCAUUUGCACAAUCGUUUUCUAAGUGGGGAAAAGGCCUUUUCUCUUUGUUUUCUUACAUAGGUUUUGCUGUUCCUUCUGUCUUAGCCUCUGUUCUUUUGCAUCUUUCUCAACUUUUUUACUCUUCUGAAUAAUAUGGGGUUUUCCUCUCGGAAAGUUGAUGGGGUUUGGUUAGAUUGUGUCAGAAACAUCUGGGUUUUGCUACAAGAGUUGAGUAUUUUAUAGUUCAAUUUCAAUUUGUACUAUUACUUCUUUGAGGACUUUCAUCAAACACCUUGCGGGUAACUUCGAACUUCAAUUUUUUUUUUUUUUUUUGCUUCUUCCAUUUGAGAAAUUAUGGGUUGUAUCCAUACAAAAUGUUGCUGUCGCUACCCAAAAUCGUUGGUUGGAGAAUCUCAAGACUUUCGACAAGGGGUUCCUUACUGUCUUCAAGAUAAGAACACUGUGAUAGAGAAAUCAUUGGAGAUGAUUCCUGUUGCUUCCCACAACUAUCAUUUGGAAUAUUUGGUUCUAGCUCAGCGUGGUUACUACCCUGAAUCUCCUGAUAAAGAAAAUCAAGACAGUUUCUGCAUUAGAACAAACAUUCAAGGUAACCCAAAUGCUCAUUUCUUUGGUGUUUUUGAUGGACAUGGUCAAUUUGGAAUGCAGUGUUCAAACUUUGUGAAAGAUAGACUAAUAGAAAAGCUAUGUAAUGAUCCCACAUUGUUAGAUGAUCCUAUACAAGCUUAUAAUUCAGCAUUUUUGUCUACAAAUGAUGAGUUACAUACAAGUGAGAUUGAUGAUUCCAUGAGUGGAACAACUGCAAUUACAGUUCUUGUUGUUGGGGAUACUCUGUAUGUAGCUAAUGUUGGUGAUUCAAGAGCUGUAAUUGCAGUCAAAGAAGGGAAUUGUGUUCUGGCUAAGGACUUGUCAAAUGAUCAAACACCAUUUAGAAAAGAUGAGUAUGAGAGAGUUAAGCUUUGUGGGGCUAGAGUUUUGAGUGUUGAUCAAGUGGAAGGACUUGUGGAUCCUGAUAUUCAGUGCUGGGGAGACGAAGAAAGUCAAGGCGGCGAUCCACCUCGGCUGUGGGUUCAAAAUGGAUUGUAUCCUGGGACUGCAUUUACUAGGAGUAUUGGUGAUAGUACUGCUGAGAAAAUCGGUGUAAAUGCUGUUCCUGAGGUCUUAGUUCUUCAGCUUAAUCCCAAUCAUCUUUUCUUUGUGGUUGCUAGUGAUGGAGUUUUCGAGUUCCUUUCAAGUCAAACUGUUGUUGAUAUGGUAUGUAAUGUUAUCAAUUUCUAGCUAUAUUUUUCUUUGAUAUUUUCUUCUUGGUCAUGAAUCUUGAUAUCCAGGUUGCCAUGUUGAAGAUUGGUAGAUACAAACCCGUUAGAUAGCUAUUUGGUUUGCUGUUUUUGAAAGACUCUUUUGAUUUCCUCAAAAUCUUUUGGUAACAUUUUCACAAAAGAUGCACCAAAGCCAUCUUUUGGAGAAUGUUAGGAUUUAUUCUCUAUUUUAGAGCUAUUUGCACGAUUUUAUCAAAUUAUAGAGACUAUUUAGAAACGUUUUAUCAAAUCACUAAGACUGAUAUUUAAUUUUUAAAAUUAUAGGAACCAAAUUUGUAAUUUAACCUCUUUUCUUUUUGUUGAAUUUUUGGUUUGGUUUUCUAAAAUGUUUUUAAAAAGUAGGUAAUAAAGUAAAAAAAAAAAUAUAAGUGAAAGUAGGGUUUAUAGAAACAAAAUGAUUAAUAGACAAGCAUACUUUUUAUCUGUUUACUUGUUGCUUCUUACUUUUGAACUGCUGAACUCAAUAGAAACGACUUCUAUUAGCCAAUUUGUGAGCAUAUACGUAAGUUGCGUUAAUAUGUUUUAACCAUAACUACAGAUCUUAACACAAUUUCUAAUGUUUUUUUCCCCUCUAUACAGGCAUCAAGUUAUGCAGAUCCUCAAGAUGCUUGCACUGCCAUUGCUGCCGAGUCGUAUAAACUAUGGAUGGAACAUGAAAAUCGAACCGAUGAUAUAACGAUCAUUGUUGUUCAAAUCAAAGGCUUGUCUAAUGUAUGAAAUUUACAAGAAUUAUUUCGGCUACAUAUUUCUUGCUCUUGAAUGUGAUGAUGAUAUAAUCUUCAACAGCAAAAUGCAGGAUGAUGUUGAACAAAGAAAAGAAAAGAAAAAACAUUUUGUUAUUACAUCUCUGUUAUCCCCUUGAUAUAAACCUACAUUUUGAACAGAAAAUUUAUGAUUCAAUGCUUAGCUUUCUCAUCUCUUAUCAAUUCGUUAGCUUGUAAGCUUGUUCCUCCCUUGUUUGCGUUGUUGGUUUAGUCAGGUGCUGAUAAUAAUCCUUCCAGCAACGGGCUGGAGACUGCUUCUUUGAGAAUUGAUUUCUCAGAUCUACCCACUGAACCGAACACUCAACCUGUUGCUGUGACAAAUCGAAACCCAGCGAUCGUGGUUCCAAUGCUGAAUAAUCAGACAUCUUUAUAACGGUAGUCUCUCUACUAUAAUAACAUAUUACCGCUAAACUUGUUGUUCGAAAUGAUUUAAGUACAUAAGCACUUAGAAAGAAAGUUAAUCUAAACAGAGACCAUUGUUCAUAGUUGUUAAAUGGUUUUAGCUUGUGUAUUCAGACUUCAGUGUUGCUAUAACAUUCCUCCACCAGCAGAAGAGACUUGUAAUGGAUCCUGAAAGGUAAAACUGACUAAAAAGCAUUUUAUAAUCUUAAUUUUUGCUUAGAAGAAUUACCUUUUAGUUUCUGACGUCACUUUGUUUAUACUUUUACAGUUGAAACAAAUACUGAUCUUCCAGCUUAGCAUUGGACCAACUAAGUUGAUAAAGACAGGGAGGUUUGGUGUCUUUGACAUGGAAAAAUGGAUGGAUUGUUCUCUUGUAAAUCCAUGAUAGAGAUUGAGAGAAAAAUCUACAGUUCCCAUUAAAAAGACAAGACAAAGAAAGGGAAUUUAAUGAGGUGGAUUAACUUCAAAGCUCAAUGAUAAACAAGUUUCAGACCCCACUUUGUUACCUUGUCUCUUCAUUUCUGGCUGGCAUGCUAAGGUAGAAUAUGUUGUAAAUAGCAAAAAAAAAAAGAAAAAAAAUUAUAUAUCCUUUUUCUUCUUCUGUUUGCUUAAGAUAGAUCCCACUUCUUGAAAAGUGUCAUGUCAAUGGUUUAGCUUGUUGUGAAGUUAACUUGUGGAUGACUGUCACAAAUUGUUGCUCAGAUGGACCCUCAAUUUUUUCUAUAAUUUCAAAUUUCAAUGUUUUGUGAUUCAAAUUCUCUCAUCCAAAUCACCAACGGUUACUCUCACGUGAUCAUAGUUUAGUAGAAAUUAACACAAAUAUAUUUUUGUUAAAAUUUUAAGAUAGUAAGGUUUGACAAACUAUUGAGAUUUUCGUGCGACCUGUUUGAUUUUUUUUUAUAGUAAUUCCACCCAUCCUAACUUUAACAAAAGGUCAAAACACAAAAAAUCUUGGAUCAUAUCUCGUUUGAGUCUUUGAGAAUAGGUUAGUUGCACACGCUCGAGCAUUUUUUAGUGUAGAAUAAGAAUUUAUUGAAAACAGGCUUAGUUAAACGGUAAUUGACAAAACUUUUAGUUGAUGGAAGGUUCAAUCUGAAAUAAUCUCUACAUAAUGGCAAAGACUUGGAAGAACAGUCAACCUUAUAGAUGUUACAAAAUACAUCUAAACAAGAUAAAACAAAAUCUUAGAUAUUAUUUGUUACAUUAUGCACCUUUGCAGAAUAAUCUUCACUUGCGUUGGCCAGAUUUCCUUCUCUCACUGCAAGACUUCAAAGCUUGAACCUCUACUAGACAAACCAUUAGCAGCGAGGAAAUGGAUUAGGACAGUCAUUUUAUAUGAAAAAUUAAAAAAUUGCACAAUAUAGACAUUAACAUUUCAAAUUGGUAAGAAACAGAAAGAGAUCUUGGCAACCACAAAUAAUUCAAAGAUGAACCUAUGAACAAAAUUAGAAUUCAGAACAAGAAGAAAUGAUCGAAUUGGUGAAAACGAUGGUCAGUGAGAGAUGAACAGUAUACCAGCCUGGCAAGAUUUCCAGUUCCUGUUAGUUUUGAUAAGACAAUCCUGAAAAUUAUAGGGAUGAAGUUAAUAAACAUCAAUUUACAUUUUAGGGCUUAGGGUUUUAGCAGAACGUAAAAAGGUAGAAGACGACGAACAGAACCGCCAAAAAGAAGAACCUGUAAGGAUAAGUAGAAGGAUGAGCAUUCAUUGAGCUGCUUGACGUUCUCGUCUUCAUCGUCAGCAUCACUCCGGUGAAGAGGCGGCUGAUUCUCCGGCGAAAUCGGCGGUUUCCCCAUUUUUUUUCCUUCAGGUUCGACACAAAUUUUAUACGAAAUUCAAACUUCUUAGCGUAAUAAGUUUGAACUGCUCAAAGUUCGCGAUUUAUUAUAGAAUUUCUUCUCUUCUUUUUCAUAUAGAUUAGGGUUUGUAUAUUUGUGCUUAAUUUAGUGUUGCAAUUGCUAACGGAUUUUGAUUUUGAUUCUUCCUUAUUAAUAUAGUUUUUUAAAAAGAGGAAAGGUGGUGUGAAAAAAAGUACUAUCUUUUUCCUUUUUUUUUUUUAUGCAAUUUUUAAAUCUACAUAUUUUCAUUACAAAAGAGAAAUUGUCGAUCACUUUUUAAUAUAGUGUUUGGUGUCCUUUUAAAUAAAAUUUAUGGAUCUCCACUUAUUCAAAAGGAUUGAAUUUUUGCACAAAUAUAAUUAUUAUAGAUCUUAGGAGAAAAAAAAGUUAAAUGAUAGAAAAGGCUGGUAAUUAUUCCAAAAAAGACUAUUAAUUCUGCAACAAAACCGCUCAUACCGGGCAAUGCAAGGGAAGCCAUCGAUAAGAUACUGAAAGUCGUAAAUAUUUUUGGAAUUGGGAUAGCCAGUCCUCCCAUUUCAUCAAGAUAAACCAGACGUAUUCUAUCAUAACUUGUUCCCGCUAAGAAAAAAAGCGCAGCGCCAAUAAAUCCAUGAGAGAUUAUUUGUAAAAUAGCUCCAUUCAGUCCCGUAUCGCUUAUAGAACCAAUUCCUAUAAUUAUGA